rnacentral:snRNA from 1 species
AUGCUCACUUCAGCAGCACAUAUACUAAAAUUGGAAAGAUACAGAGAAGAUUAGCAUGGCCCCUGUGCAAUGAUAUGCAAAUUUGUGAAGCGUUCCAUAUUUUA